rnacentral:pre_miRNA from 1 species
UUACUUUUUUCUUAGUCAAGCUUCUUAAAGUUUUACCAAGUUUAUAAAAAAUAUGGUAACAUUUGUAACACAAUAAAAAUAUAUUCAAUGUUACAUUUUAAUGAAAUGAAUCUGGCAUUGUAGAUGUUGCUAAUUUUUCUAUAAACUUGAUCAAAUUUAAAAGAAGUUUGACUAGGAAAAAGUCAAA